GAGAGCCGGAUGCGGGGAAACUCGCACGUCCGGUUCGGCGGGCGGGGCAUGGAAACGUACCAGAAGCAAUUCCGGCAACGCGCCAUGCCCCGACCCACC
rnacentral:ncRNA from 1 species